rnacentral:rRNA from 1 species
GGGCCCGCACAAGCGGUGGAGCAUGUGGUUUAAUUCGAAGCAACGCGAAGAACCUUACCAAAUCUUGACAUCCUUUGACCACUCUAGAGAUAGAGCUUCCCCUUCGGGGGCAAAGUGACAGGUGGUGCAUGGUUGUCGUCAGCUCGUGUCGUGAGAUGUUGGGUUAAGUCCCGCAACGAGCGCAACCCUUAUUGUUAGUUGCCAUCAUUCAGUUGGGCACUCUAGCGAGACUGCCGGUGACAAACCGGAGGAAGGUGGGGAUGACGUCAAAUCAUCAUGCCCCUUAUGAUUUGGGCUACACACGUGCUACAAUGGGAAGUACAACGAGUCGCAAAGUCGCGAGGCUAAGCUAAUCUCUUAAAGCUUCUCUCAGUUCGGAUUGUAGGCUGCAACUCGCCUACAUGAAGCCGGAAUCGCUAGUAAUCGCGGAUCAGCACGCCGCGGUGAAUACG